UUAGUUUUAUUUUUAUUGCCUCGCAUAAGCCAAAUGUUUGUUUGUUUGUUUGUUUUCUUUUCUGGCUUUCUUCGUCGAACAUAUUUGAUGCAAAAACCCUUUAACCAGAGCAAUAGAUAGAUUUCACAUGCUCAAGGGGACUUUGCAGUAGCUACACGUACUUCCACCGCUGCUAUUAUCAGGGAAUAAAUUUGGGUGAAUAUAUUCAGAUCGAGAGAUAGACCUCCUUUCGAUUUAAGAGGAUCAGGGUCAGCCAUAUUUUGGACUCUUAGACUGGCUGUCUGUUGCUAUUCCAUGUCCAACAGUCUUUCAAAUGAUUCCAUCGCGUGCACUCAAUUAGUUUGAAAUUCUACCAAGUAGGCGACCAACUGGUUAGAUGGUUGGCCUGCUGACUGAUAAGACUGCCGGAUGGUUGGUACCAAUUCAAAUAGGGGAUCCAAUUCAGCAUUUUUCGAUCACAACAACCACUAAAUUAUAUAAUACCGCUUUUUCAGUUGAAGUUAAUAGAAUAUUAGUAUAAUUAUUAAAAAAGUUAGGGCUCAGUCAUGUGAUACUUGUGCCCUAUUAAAUUAAUUAUUCUCGCAUCUCAUCAAUCAUUAUAAUUUAUUUUAUUCA